rnacentral:misc_RNA from 1 species
UUGGCUUUGGAUUUUAUCUUGCUCAUGGACUUAUUGACAAACCCCUUUGUCCUCCCUCUUACUAUCAUCAUAGUUGUAAUGGUGCUAUCACUUUCUCAAGUUGAUCAGUAAUUGGGUUUUGCUGUGCUGAGGUGCUUCUGCCUGUAAAUGGGACCAACAUCACUUUGUGAAGUGUAUGCAAUCUAAAUGAUAGGAAAUCAGGUGGAAAUGGAAUGUGGGCUAAAUUAUUUUGGGAAUUAAAAGGAUCCUGCCAAACACAUUUAAAUCUUCAUUUUUUUAGCUGGCUGGAUGUUUGCAACCCGCCAAAUAAAAUUAGCCUGGAGUUCAAUGCCCUUAAAAUUGAACUUGUAUGCUUUACAACUUAUCUGGU